CCUACGGGGGGCAGCAGUGGGGAAUAUUGGACAAUGGGGGGAACCCUGAUCCAGCCAUGCCGCGUGUGUGAAGAAGGCCCUCGGGUUGUAAAGCACUUUCAGUGAGGAAGAACGCCUGGUGGUUAAUACCCAUCAGGAAAGACAUCACUCACAGAAGAAGCACCGUCUAACUCCGUGCCAGCAGCCGCGGUAAUACGGAGGGUGCGAGCGUUAAUCGGAAUUACUGGGCGUAAAGCGCGCGUAGGUGGCUUGAUAAGCCGGUUGUGAAAGCCCCGGGCUCAACCUGGGAACGGCAUCCGGAACUGUCAAGCUAGAGUGCAGGAGAGGAAGGUAGAAUUCCCGGUGUAGCGGUGAAAUGCGUAGAGAUCGGGAGGAAUACCAGUGGCGAAGGCGGCCUUCGGGACUGACACUGACACUGAGGUGCGAAAGCGUGGGUAGCAAACAGGAUUAGAUACCCCUGUAGUC
rnacentral:rRNA from 1 species